AAACCCAUCUCCAAGCUGGGUGUAAUGUCUCAUGCCAGUAAUCCCAGCUACUCAGGAGGCUGAGGAGAGAGGAUUGCUUGAGCCCAGGAGUUCAAGUCUAGCCUGGGCAAUAUGGCAAGACCUCAUCUCUUAAGAAAAGCAAAACUCCACCUUCCAUGCCCCAGAUGAAAAGUGAUAAAAGAGAAUGGGCCUUUGUGAAGACGGCAGGACAUAGCUGGUAUUCACGUAGGUUCUUCUUCCUAUCAAAUGAUGAGCUGCUGGAAAUCUUGUCCGAGACAAAGGACCCUCUCCGAGUGCAGCCGCACUUGAAGAAGUGCUUUGAAGGAAUAGCCAAGCUUGAGUUUACAGACAAUCUGGAAAUUGUGGGCAUGAUCAGCUCAGAAAAAGAAACUGUUCCAUUCAUACAGAAAAUCUACCCAGCUAAUGCCAAGGGCAUGGUGGAAAAGUGGCUCCAGCAGGUGGAGCAGAUGAUGCUGGCCAGUAUGCGAGAAGUCAUUGGACUUGGGAUUGAAGCAUAUGUCAAGGUCCCUCGAAAUCACUGGGUCUUACAGUGGCCUGGACAGGUGGUUAUCUGUGUCUCCUCCAUCUUUUGGACCCAGGAGGUGUCCCAAGCCCUGGGGGAAAAUACCUUACUGGAUUUUCUGAAAAAGAGCAAUGAUCAGAUUGCACAGAUUGUCCAGCUGGUGCGAGGGAAGCUGAGCAGUGGAGCUCGACUCACUCUCGGGGCCCUCACGGUCAUCGAUGUCCACGCCCGCGACGUGGUGGCCAAGUUAUCUGAGGACAGGGUCUCUGAUCUGAAUGAUUUCCAAUGGAUCUCACAGCUGCGCUACUACUGGGUGGCCAAGGAUGUGCAGGUGCAGAUUAUCACCACAGAAGCCUUGUAUGGCUAUGAGUACCUGGGAAACUCCCCCCGGCUGGUGAUCACACCCCUCACUGACCGCUGCUACAGGACACUGAUGGGAGCUUUGAAGCUGAACCUUGGGGGUGCUCCAGAGGGUCCAGCUGGGACUGGCAAGACAGAAACCACCAAAGAUUUGGCCAAAGCCUUGGCUAAGCAGUGUGUGGUCUUCAACUGCUCUGAUGGUUUGGAUUACAAAGCUAUGGGGAAGUUCUUCAAGGGGCUGGCACAGGCUGGAGCAUGGGCGUGCUUUGAUGAGUUCAACAGGAUCGAGGUGGAAGUGCUGUCUGUGGUCGCUCAGCAGAUCCUCAGCAUCCAACAAGCCAUCAUUCGGAAGCUAAAGACAUUCAUCUUUGAAGGCACUGAGCUCUCUCUGAACCCAACCUGCGCUGUGUUCAUCACCAUGAACCCCGGGUAUGCUGGCAGGGCUGAACUGCCCGACAACCUCAAGGCCUUGUUCCGGACAGUGGCCAUGAUGGUCCCAGAUUACGCCCUCAUUGGAGAAAUCUCCCUCUACUCCAUGGGGUUUCUGGACUCCAGAAGUCUCGCCCAGAAGAUCGUUGCGACCUACCGCCUGUGCUCGGAACAACUGUCCUCUCAGCAUCACUAUGACUACGGCAUGCGCGCUGUCAAGUCUGUGCUUACUGCCGCAGGAAACCUGAAGCUCAAGUAUCCAGAGGAGAAUGAAAGUGUCCUGCUGCUCCGGGCAUUGCUUGAUGUCAACCUGGCCAAGUUCUUAGCGCAGGAUGUCCCUCUGUUUCAGGGAAUUAUAUCCGAUUUAUUUCCUGGAGUUGUUCUUCCAAAGCCAGACUAUGAAGUUUUUCUGAAAGUGCUGAAUGAUAACAUCAAAAAGAUGAAACUCCAGCCAGUACCUUGGUUUAUAGGGAAAAUUAUCCAGAUCUACGAAAUGAUGCUGGUGAGACAUGGCUAUAUGAUUGUGGGAGACCCCAUGGGUGGCAAGACCUCUGCUUAUAAAGUGUUGGCUGCAGCUCUUGGCGAUUUACACGCAGCCAAUCAGAUGGAGGAGUUUGCUGUGGAGUACAAGAUCAUCAACCCCAAGGCUAUCACGAUGGGGCAGCUGUAUGGAUGCUUUGACCAAGUGAGCCACGAGUGGACGGAUGGUGUCCUUGCCAAUGCUUUCCGGGAGCAAGCGUCUUCACUCUCUGAUGAUCGCAAGUGGAUUAUAUUUGAUGGGCCAGUGGAUGCUGUUUGGAUUGAAAAUAUGAACACUGUUCUGGAUGACAAUAAAAAGCUGUGUCUCAUGAGUGGGGAAAUUAUCCAGAUGAACUCCAAGAUGAGCCUGAUCUUUGAGCCAGCCGACCUCGAGCAAGCCUCUCCAGCCACUGUGAGCAGGUGUGGGAUGAUCUACAUGGAGCCCCAUCAACUAGGCUGGAAGCCCCUGAAGGAUUCCUACAUGGACACCCUGCCCUCCAGUCUCACCAAGGAGCACAGGGAAUUGGUCAAUGACAUGUUCAUGUGGCUUGUCCAGCCCUGCCUGGAAUUUGGUCGCCUUCAUUGUAAAUUUGUUGUCCAAACAUCUCCCAUCCACCUUGCCUUCUCAAUGAUGAGACUGUACUCUUCUCUGCUUGAUGAAAUCAGGGCAGUAGAAGAGGAGGAAAUGGAAUUAGGUGAAGGCCUGUCAAGUCAGCAAAUCUUUCUCUGGCUCCAAGGACUGUUUCUCUUUUCCUUGGUGUGGACCGUGGCUGGCACCAUCAAUGCAGACAGCAGAAAGAAAUUUGAUGUGUUUUUCCGCAACCUGAUCAUGGGCAUGGAUGAUAACCACCCAAGGCCCAAAAGCGUCAAACUCACCAAAAACAACAUCUUUCCAGAAAGAGGAAGCAUCUAUGAUUUUUAUUUUAUCAAACAAGCUAGUGGACACUGGGAAACGUGGACACAGUAUAUCACCAAAGAGGAGGAAAAAAUUCCAGCUGGUGCAAAGGUCUCAGAACUCAUCAUCCCUACAAUGGAGACAGCCCGGCAGUCCUUCUUCUUGAAAACCUACUUAGACCAUGAGAUUCCAACGCUGUUCGUGGGUCCCACAGGCACUGGCAAAUCAGCCAUUACCAACAACUUCCUUCUCCACCUUCCCAAAAAUACGUACCUACCCAACUGCAUCAAUUUCUCUGCCAGAACCUCAGCCAAUCAGACCCAGGAUAUCAUCAUGUCCAAGCUGGAUCGACGACGGAAGGGCCUUUUCGGGCCUCCCAUAGGGAAGAAAGCAGUGGUGUUUGUGGAUGACCUCAACAUGCCAGCCAAAGAGGUGUACGGGGCCCAGCCACCCAUCGAGCUCCUGAGGCAGUGGAUUGACCAUGGUUACUGGUUUGACAAGAAAGACACAACCAGGCUGGACAUCGUGGACAUGCUGCUUGUGACAGCCAUGGGGCCCCCCGGGGGAGGAAGGAAUGACAUUACUGGUAUGUGAAGGAAAGAGCUCAUUCCUUUCCCUCCAUCCGCAGCAGAGCUGGGCCACCUUUAUGAAAGGUGGGUUGGUGUGCCACAGUCUGUCCUGCCAAACCACGUGGCAGGAGCAUGGAGCAGAAGCAUGUGUAGGCUACAGGCUUCAUGUUGGAAAUUGUGUGAAAUAGAAGGGGAUGAUGGCAAGAAGAUGUGAGGAGUGUUUGGCUAGGCCCUAGAGAAACAGAGUCUCAUAGGAAAAGGAGAAUUCAGUGUGGCCAGCGUGUGUUCUGGGAGGGAGGCUCCAUCCAGAAGCCUCAACUAGGGGUGCAUGACAGUCAUCCACUGUAUUCGUUAUAAUUCUUUAGGUUGCCAGAGACAAAACACCUAACCCAAAGUGCCCUAAGCAAAAUUAAUAACAAUAAAAAUAGCAAAUAAAU
rnacentral:sRNA from 1 species